rnacentral:rRNA from 1 species
GCCCUACGGGGGGCAGCAGUGGGGAAUAUUGGACAAUGGGCGAAAGCCUGAUCCAGCCAUGCCGCGUGAGUGAAGAAGGCCUUCGGGUUGUAAAGCUCUUUCGGCGGGGACGAUGAUGACGGUACCCGCAUAAGAAGCCCCGGCAAACUUCGUGCCAGCAGCCGCGGUAAUACGAAGGGGGCUAGCGUUGUUCGGAAUUACUGGGCGUAAAGCGAACGUAGGCGGUGUUCCAUGUCAGAGGUGAAAGCCUGGGGCUCAACUCCAGAAUUGCCUUUGAAACGGGAACGCUUGAGUCCGAGAGAGGAUGGCGGAAUUCCUAGUGUAGAGGUGAAAUUCGUAGAUAUUAGGAAGAACACCGGUGGCGAAGGCGGCCAUCUGGCUCGGUACUGACGCUCAGGUUCGAAAGCGUGGGGAGCAAACAGGAUUAGAUACCCGAGUAGUCA